AGAACGAACGCUGGCGGCAUGCCUAAUACAUGCAAGUCGAACGAACUCUUCGGAGUUAGUGGCGCACGGGUGCGUAACGCGUGGGAAUCUGCCCCUUGGUUCGGAAUAACAGUUGGAAACGACUGCUAAUACCGGAUGAUGACGAAAGUCCAAAGAUUUAUCGCCAAGGGAUGAGCCCGCGUAGGAUUAGCUAGUUGGUGAGGUAAAGGCUCACCAAGGCAACGAUCCUUAGCUGGUCUGAGAGGAUGAUCAGCCACACUGGGACUGAGACACGGCCCAGACUCCUACGGGAGGCAGCAGUAGGGAAUAUUGGACAAUGGGCGAAAGCCUGAUCCAGCAAUGCCGCGUGAGUGAUGAAGGCCUUAGGUUGUAAAGCUCUUUACCCGAGAUGAUAAUGACAGUAUCGGAGAAUAAGCCCCGGCUAACUCCGUGCCAGCAGCCGC
rnacentral:rRNA from 1 species